GGCUUUCUGUGUGGUUUAGUAGAUAGAAAGUCUGACCUGCCCGGUGACUAGAAAGUUAAACGGCCGCGGUACCCUGACCGUGCAAAGGUAGCAUAAUCAUUUGCCUUUUAAUUGGAGGCUGGUAUGAAUGGUUUGACGAGAAUUGAGCUGUCUCUCUUAAAAUAUAAAAAAAUUAACUUUUAGGUGAAGAGGCCUAAAUUUUAUUGAGGGACAAGAAGACCCUAUUGAGCUUUAGUAAUCUUUUGGGUUGAAAUGACUGUUAUGGAAAAAUGUUCCGGAAGAAAUCUUUAGUUGGGGCGACUUAGGAACAAACAAAACUUCCUAUUGUAAGUUGUAGGACGUACGUGUUUUUAUCCAGUAUUAUUGAUUAAAGGAAAAAGUUACCAUAGGGAUAACAGCGUAAUCUUCUUGGAGAGUUCGUAUCGAAAAGUGGGUUUGCGACCUCGAUGUUGGACUAAGAUAUCCUAAGGGUGUAGAAAUUCUUGAGGGUUGGUCUGUUCGACCAUUAAAAUCUU
rnacentral:rRNA from 1 species